GACGAACGCUGGCGGCGUGCCUAAUACAUGCAAGUAGAACGCUGAAGCGAGGAGCUUACUCUUCUUGGAUGAGUUGCGCACGGGUGAGUAACGCGAAGGUAAUCUGCCUUGUAGUGGGGGAUCACUAUUGGAAACGAUAGCUAAUACCGCAUAACAAUGGAUGACACAUGUCAUUUAUUUGAAAGGGGCAAUUGCUCCACUACAAGAUGGACCUGCGUUGUAUUAGCUAGUAGGUGAGGUAAUGGCUCACCUAGGCGACGAUACAUAGCCGACCUGAGAGGGGGAGCGGCCACACUGGUACUGAGACACGGCCCAGACUCCUACGGGAGGCAGCAGUAGGGAAUCUGCGGCAAUGGGGGCAACCCUGACCGAGCAACGCCGCGUGAGUGAAGAAGGUUGUCGGAUCGUAAAGCUCUGUUGUAAGUCAAGAACGGGGGUGAGAGUGGAAAGUUCACACUGUGACGGUAGCUUACCAGAAAGGGACGGCUAACUACGUG
rnacentral:rRNA from 1 species